rnacentral:rRNA from 1 species
CCUACGGGGGGCAGCAGUGGGGAAUAUUGGACAAUGGGGGGAACCCUGAUCCAGCCAUGCCGCGUGUGUGAAGAAGGCCCUCGGUUUGUAAAGCACUUUCAGUGAGGAAGAACGCCUGGUGGUUAAUACCCAUCAGGAAAGACAUCACUCACAGAAGAAGCACCGGCUAACUCCGUGCCAGCAGCCGCGGUAAUACGGAGGGUGCGAGCGUUAAUCGGAAUUACUGGGCGUAAAGCGCGCGUAGGUGGCUUGAUAAGCCGGUUGUGAAAGCCCCGGGCUCAACCUGGGAACGGCAUCCGGAGCUGUCAAGCUAGAGUGCAGGAGAGGAAGGUAGAAUUCCCGGUGUAGCGGUGAAAUGCGUAGAGAUCGGGAGGAAUACCAGUGGCGAAGGCGGCCUUCUGGACUGAAACUGACACUGAGGUGCGAAAGCGUGGGUAGCAAACAGGAUUAGAUACCCUGGUAGUC